rnacentral:piRNA from 1 species
UACAAUCAUAAAGGGCCCAUUAUCAGG